CUUACAUUUAAGGUAAGUACUAAUUACCACAUGGUACGGUCUAAAUUAAAGAGUUCAAAAGGUGUAGCACGCACAUCCAAAACAAUAAAACUGGGUUCUGGGCAGUAAGGUAGCAACAAAAGUAAACAAUAAGUCCGCACACCAGAAGAUGCUCCUACGAAAAUUUAAUGGUUGCUCACCACGUGUACAAACGUGUACACGUGUAUACGGUCUAAAUUAAAAUCAUAGCAGAAACAAAUUAUUUUGACUUUUCUAGUAA